rnacentral:rRNA from 1 species
UACGUAGGGUGCAAGCGUUAAUCGGAAUUACUGGGCGUAAAGCGUGCGCAGGCGGUUUUGUAAGUCUGUCGUGAAAGCCCCGGGCUCAACCUGGGAAUUGCAUUGGAUACUGGCAGGCUAGAGUGCGGUAGAGGAUGGCGGAAUUCCCGGUGUAGCAGUGAAAUGCGUAGAGAUCGGGAGGAACAUCUGUGGCGAAGGCGGCCAUCUGGACCAGCACUGACACUGAGGCACGAAAGCGUGGGGAGCAAACAGG